GCAAAGUGAAGUUGUUUUUAAUUGAGGUUGUCAGCAUUUCUUGUGCAUAUUGGUUUGCUGUUUUUGUUGAUAUUCUUGAAACCAAUCUCGGCAAGAGUUUUGGAAGAACUUUCGCUUUUGUUGCCGAAACAUCCAGUUAAUGAGCAGGAAUCGACAAAUUCUGAGGAACCGGAGUCGCUCAAAAGUUAGGCGACUCUGCAUUCGAAGGUGUAACAAACAGAACAGGUUCCGGACAACAAACAUUGCACUUGAAGGGGCAGCAACAAAUGCAGAUAGAUGCAACUCUGCUCAGAAAUUACGCGAGUGAAUCGGGACCAAACUGCCAGUAGGCCAGCGCAUAGUCGAAAAAAUAGCUACGGCAGUGGCUUUUCUACAAUUCAUUUGAUUUGCAGGAUCCCAAGUUUGGUAUGCUCUCGGUUCAGGGAAGAGCAUUUUUCUUGGCCGGAUAUUUCAGGUUGA